CCUGUUGCCAGGCGGCGGGGAUUGGCGGAGCGGGGAUUCCCUUCGGUAUGACGUCACUGGGCCAGCCGAGCUUUCCCCUCGGCUGACACGCGGGUUCCUAAAGCGGCCGGCGGAGGCGGAGGAGGAGGCGUGUCUUGGCCAAUGGGGAGCUCGGGCGUCGUGGGGACGGGGCGGUAGGCUCUCCGUAUAUGGCAGAGGAGGGGGCGCGGCCUGGGGCAAGGCUGCUCUCGGGGGCAGCCGCUCCCUUUGGCUCCCAGCUGCUCGGCCAGCCAGCCACUUCUGAGCUGCCGAAGGGGAGACACGCGUGUUUCUCCUCCGGGCCGGUGAGCAGAGAGCUGUUUCAGCCGGGCCAGAAGCCGCUGCAAUGAUUUCCCGCAGGUGGUUCCAUCCAAACAUCAGCGGGAUUGAAGCAGAAAAACUGCUCCUAACCAGAGGCAUCCAUGGCAGUUUUUUGGCCCGGCCAAGUAAAAGCAACCCCGGAGAUUUCACGUUAUCGGUCAGGAGGAACGAUGAAGUGACCCACAUCAAAAUCCAAAACACGGGCGAUUACUAUGACCUCUACGGAGGGGAAAAAUUUGCUACCUUGGCAGAGCUGAUUCAGUACUACACUGACCAGGAGGGCCUUUUGCGCGAGAAGAACAGCAACACCAUCGAGUUACGGUUUCCACUCAAUUGCCAGGAUCCGACCUCAGAAAGAUGGUAUCAUGGCCACCUGACCGGCAAGGAAGCUGAGAAACUCCUCACCGACAAAGCCAAACCCGGCAGCUUUUUAGUCCGCAGCAGUCAAAGCAAGCCAGGCGACUUCGUCUUGUCCGUUCUGACGAACGAGGACAAAGCCGACACAGGGGACCGGAAACCCCGGGUGACCCACAUCAUGAUCCGCUACCAGCUGGACGGAAAGUACGACGUGGGCGGGGGAGAGCGAUUCGACACGCUGGCUGACUUGGUGGAGCACUACAAGAAAAACCCCAUGGUGGAGAAGUCAGGGGUGGUGGUACACCUGAAACAGCCUUUCAACGCCACAAGGAUUAUCGCCGCCAACAUCGAGAACCGGGUCAAGGAGCUGAACAAGAUGGCUGACCAGAGCGAGAAAGCGAAGCAAGGAUUCUGGGAAGAAUUUGAGAUGUUACAGCAGCAGGAGUGCAAAUUUCUCUAUCCCAGGAAGGAAGGGCAGCGCGUCGAGAACAAGGCGAAGAAUCGCUACAAAAACAUCCUUCCGUUUGACACAACGCGGGUGGCUCUCCGGAACGCGGAUCCCAGAGUCCCGAGUUCCGAUUACAUCAAUGCCAACUAUAUUAAGAAUACUCUGGAAGAUGGGCACAGCGCCGAACACCGUAAAAUCUACAUCGCCACCCAGGGCUGUCUCCAAAGCACCGUCAAUGACUUUUGGACCAUGAUCUACCAGGAAAACACCCACAUCAUCGUCAUGACCACCAAGGAGGUUGAGCGAGGCAGGAACAAGUGUUUUCGCUACUGGCCGGAUCAAAAUGGCACGAAGGAAUUCGGCAACAUCGGCGUGCAGAAUACCGGGGAGCGAGAAUGUCAGGGCUACUACAUCCGGGAUUUGCAGAUUGCACGGAUAGACAGGGAAGAGCAGCCCAGAAAAAUUAAGCACUUCCAGUAUUUCAGCUGGCCUGAUCAUGGGGUCCCGACUGAGCCAGGCGGUGUUCUCGGCUUUCUGGACCAAAUCAACAAGGCCCACAGAAAUAUUCCAGAGUCGGGACCAAUUGUGGUGCACUGCAGUGCUGGGAUAGGACGGACGGGCACCAUCAUCGUGAUAGACAUGCUGGUGGACACGAUUCACCGACAAGGCUUGCAUUGUGACAUCGACAUCUCAAAGACAAUCCAGAUGGUACGAAGGCAGAGGUCGGGCAUGGUGCAGACGGAAGCCCAGUACAAAUUUGUCUACAUGGCGGUGCAACAGUUCAUUGCGAUGCAGCAGAAGGAGCUAGAAGAGGAACAGAGAUGUCUACGGAAGGACACAGGUUACUUAAAUAUCCGAUAUUUGCCGAUGGAAAAACCCAGAGCCAAGACUUGCCCUCCUUCACCUCGCCUCCAGAUAGGGGUGGCUGACGAAGAAACGACUUCCGUCUACGAGAAUCUCAGUAUCAAAACCGCCAAAGUCUCAGGAUAUACUAACUCCGGAAGAUAGUUGCUAUAGCCCAGGCUGGAGACAGGUGGCUAUAAAGUAGGGCAAGAAGAGGACGAGGCAAAGGCUACAAUUUCUGCGCAGAAGACGCGUCACCAGAGGGUCAAGCCAACCGCAGAACUUUCUUCCACUAAUUCAGCUUUCAGAACUGAAUUUGUUCCUCUUCUCCAUUCCUUUGACAGUGGCAAAGGAUCCCAGCUGGGAAAUUCGUGUGGCUGGUUGCGUAGACGCACAAACUGUUUAUAAAUCAAGUCUUAACACACCCCAUGACUUGGCAAGAGCAACAUCCGUUCCUUUCUGACCGCCACCGUAAUUCCUUCUUUGCGGCAAUUCCAGUAGCAAAGGUUCAGCCGAGGCAAUUCACCAGCCUGCCACAUUUUUCCAUGUUUUUUCCCCCCGAGAAAUCCUAGAUUGUUAUAGAUUUGCUGGCGAGUCAUUUAGAACAACAGCUGUCUGGGAGCAAAGCCAGGAUAACAGCAACAAAAAUAAUAAUAUAAAUUAUAAUUGAUGGGGGAUUUUUUUUUUUUGGUCAAAGUAUUUAUCCUCAGCUAGCUAGAUACAGAACUGGAGUUUAUUCGGUCCAGUGGGAUUGUCCGUUCCUGUUAUGGUUAUGAAAGACGCUUCAGCUCACUCAGUUUGUAAGACAUUUUUGUAUAAAAUAAGGCCCAGGUGCGAAGGAUAGGUGCAUCUCUUCCUGGUGCUUUUCCUGGCGAAUUGACGAUUCUUCCAUUCCUAUACCUGCUGAGAUUUUAGAAGACUCCGCACAAAAAUACAAAAGCUGUAAAGAGGAUAAGAUCAGCUCCCCUUCAGAUUGGCUGAACUUUUACAGUCGCAGAUUAUCCAGUGGGUAAAACGUGCCCGUUUUGUUCCCAUGCCGCUUCGUUUUGGGAUUCGUGGACAAUCAUCUUUGAACGGAGAGGUCCUAAAAAGACCCCCGUUUUCCAGCAAUAUCGCACGUGGCUAGGAAACAUUAUCAGUGUGAUAGUGUUGGGUUCAGGCACCGUUUCUCAAUCUGGGCAACUUUUUGAGAUACAUGGAUUUACAACUCCCAGAAUUAUCCAGGCAGGACGCUUUUGUAGGAAAGAUGCCCAGCUCAAUUGCUUGCAAUAUCCAGGCCAGUUCGAUCUGGGAUGCAGCUGGCUGGUGACUACACUCUUGGAAUGGGAAACGUAUCCCAACCUUGCUACGGCGUCGGGAAUCCCAGACGUGUCCUUGAGGGUUGACACACAGGACAAGGCAACAAAAACGACAGCGUUGGGCUUUUGCUAAAAUUGCGUCCCGGAGAGGAAGCCAAAAUAACUCCAGCUAAAGAAAGCCACGAAUGCCACCGGGGACGAAAGGACUGGCUUCGGUGUGUAAGGAGAUUGCGUGGUUUCAUUGCAUAGAAUCUCGGUCAAUCAUGAGGAGUGGGAAAAAAAAAAAAAAAAAAGAAUCUCAGGACAUCCACAGGCUCUUCCCGAGCCCCUUCCCCACAACAGGGAUUCUAACGAGCCCAGUGGGAGGAAAGGAUCUAAAAUAAUAACCAUGCAACUUCAUUAAUGACAAAUGCUUUUUUUUUUUAAAAAAAAGGGAUGCGAGGUGCAUGUGUCACGAGAUUAGGGGACCUGUGGCUGGCCAGAGGCUUCUGGAUUUUAACUCCCGUAAACCCAGCUAGCGUGACCAGUGCUAAGGAUGGGAUUUGUAUUCUGACAACUCCAGGAAGGCCACAAGCACCCAGGCCUGGACCGAAAGCAAAGGCGAGGAGAACACAACAUCCUUGUUUGGGGGGGGGAAGAGGGAAGGCUUGUGACUCCUACAACACCCUGGCUCAAACAUUUGGCCUACGGGAAGGGGUGCAGCUCUCUAAGUUCCUAGCUAACUUCCCUUGAAUCAAGAUCAACACCAAUUUUUUAAAAAAAGUAUCAAAGAAACCCUCCGGAGAGGACGGAGGAAUCAUUUGGGGGCAAUUUGAAGUCGCUGGAUUGCUUUGCAUUGCCUUGGGAGAGUUAAGGGCUGGUGCGCUUCGGUUUGCAUAAGGACGGACUUGAAUUAGGGAAUCUGCACAGUGUGCAGGUGGGGGGGGGAAGAGAGGGAGAGAGAGAGAGAGAGAGAGAGAAAGA